AAGAGCACCUAUUAUGGGAUACACGUUUUUAAACAUCAUUUUGUGUGUAAGUGUGUAUUAGUACAUGCUAACGAUAUUCAAAAAGUACAUACCUCAAAGAAAACGAUGACGCGAGUUAUCGUCUCUAACGUUCGAGGACUACAAAAAACACUCGGAUUGUAGGCAACAGUUUACUUCCUGGGAUUAGUUACGUAGAUAAGACCAACAUUAUCAUAGUUCAGCCCUCUCUGCUUUGCUUGGGUACGCCCUCAAAGACGAGGGUGGGGUGGGGAGCGCCGAGUGAGAAGAGAGCUAAAAUGGCGGAGGUUGGGAGUCCCUGCUUUUACUCUGUUUGCAAACUCUUGUUUCAUCGUUUAAGCGAUUAAAUCUCUCGAGUAGACGCUGUCUCUUUAGAUGCGAGGGCAAAAUAGCACUUUAUGGACUUCCACAGAGGACAACAUGUUUAAUACGGUUCCGGAAAAAUCCAGUCAGAAGUUGUUCACGGAGUUUUCACAAUAACUGCUUCUCAUGAACCGAAGCUGGAUUUGCGCGACGUCUCCUCCUGAAAGUUGGAUUACUGUGCACUUCUGGAUCACAGGCUCUGGACACAUCCUUCUACACUGUAUGCAAACAUGCAACAUCAUUACACACAGUACAAGGAGUCAGACUGGCAUAUGAGGAGCAAAGGAACCCAGACAGUAGCAUCGUUUCACAAUGUUUCCAUCACCAUCAUCAGUGGAUGCCUUUGCCGUCCGUAGCCUGAGAUUUCAGAUUUGCAGCAAAAAAUUUGAUUUUCUCAUUUAUUGGAAUGCUAUGCAGGUUGUACCUUGCAGCCAUCCAUUACAAUGUCACCAAGCCGUAACAAAAGCAGGAGAGGGAAAGUACAAGGCUAUGUUCCCAAAACACACAAAUGACAUACCUUAUGUGGAUGAUGUGAUCAGGCUUGUGUUUGAUGAGGUAUUUGAAGAUAAGCUGAAGGAAACCCCGAUUCCAAUGGACCUGGCAUCACAGUUUGAGAAACCUUCAAAGGAGGACGUGAUUGCAUGCCAUCUUCAGUGCA